rnacentral:rRNA from 1 species
UACGUAGGGUGCGAGCGUUGUCCGGAAUUAUUGGGCGUAAAGAGCUUGUAGGCGGUUUGUCGCGUCUGCCGUGAAAAUCCGGGGCUCAACCCCGGACUUGCGGUGGGUACGGGCAGACUAGAGUGUGGUAGGGGAGACUGGAAUUCCUGGUGUAGCGGUGAAAUGCGCAGAUAUCAGGAGGAACACCGAUGGCGAAGGCAGGUCUCUGGGCCACUACUCACGCUGAGGAACGAAAGCGUGGGGAGCGAACAGG